UACGGAGGGUGCAAGCGUUAAUCGGAAUAACUGGGCGUAAAGGGCAUGCAGGCGGUUAUACAAGUAGGAUGUGAAAGCCUGGGGCUCAACCUCAGAACUGCAUUCUAAACUGUGUGACUAGAGUAUUGCAGGGGGAGACGGAAUUUCGGGUGUAGCGGUGGAAUGCGUAGAUAUCUGAAAGAACACCAAAGGCGAAGGCAGUCUCCUGGGCAAAUACUGACGCUCAUAUGCGAAAGCGUGGGUAGCAAACAGG
rnacentral:rRNA from 1 species